UGAUGGGAUUUCUUAUAACGAGUAUAGAUGUCAAAUUACAAAAUUAAGCUCAAUCCACAACAGAAUAAUGUACCAGGACUACAAAGAGCUCCUCAAUACAAAUUUUAAUUGAGAACAAAAUAUUACUUGCAACAAUAAAAUAAGUAGUUGAUCACACUUUUUAGCUGCAGGAACUUCAGUCUUGUAAGGACAAUUCUUGGUCACUUUUUGAUAGAUCACACUUUCUAGCUGCAGCAACUUCAGUCACUUUAGGUUACUGUACAUCAAUAAAGGCAGUAGAUAUCCUUUAAUAGCAAAUUUAAACUAUAUUGCCAUCAAAGACACAGAAGAGAAAGGAAAGAUGCUUAUGUCAUAAGCCACAAGAACUAUAAAGUGCAUUUCAACAUCUAGAUACAACUAACAAUCUUGAAAUAAUCAAACUUUUGCAGCUCAAAACUCAUAUUUCGAACGGCAGACUCAAUAACACAAAGCGAAUAACUUUCUACAACAGGACCAUGAAAAAAAAAUGAAACUAUGAAUUUUAGCAAAUCCUGUCAAAGAGAUAUGGCAUAGACUUGAAUGCAAGGAAAAGCCUCCCAGAUCUUAACCAUACUGGUUUGAUUUCCUCUGUGUAAUUCCAAAAAGCAGUUCCCAAAAAAUAACAAAAAAUCAUAAAAAUGACAUAUUUUGGGUCCUAAAAUCAGUGUCAUUCCCAACAUCACAAUAAUUCUUGUCCCUAAAAGAUUGAAGCACAAUCUUUAUAAAUUAUAAGUAUCAAACACACAAGAAAAUAACCACUAAUAACUCAACAUACCCAUAAUAACAAUGACCAUAACCACUAAUAUAACAAAAAAAAAAGUCUGACUAUUUCCCCCUGAUAACAAUGACCAUAUUAGCACCACGUUCAGAAAAUAAAAUAAAUUAUUCAAGUAAAAACUGUAGAAAUUGCACUUCUUAUAAGUUACAACAUUAAAUCUUUGGAAGUAACUUACGUAGAGGAGGGGGCAAGGAGAGGGAGAGAUUGCUAGUAAAGUUCACAUAAAACUAGUAGGGAAUCUAUCCUUGCAUGAAGAGAAGUUCACAUAAAACUUAAAAGGUACAAGGUUAAUGAACAAGUCCUACUGUAAGGGGAAAACAAUAGAAUCUUAAAGUUAUGAAAAAAUAAAUUUUCUCAUGACUAGUGUGUUUUGAUUAUAUGAACAACCAUAACAGUAAAAAAUUUAAUCAAAAGAGAUACAUAAAUUGUAAAAUAGACAUUCAGACAACAUAUAUAAACAAUAAAAACAAGUAAAUAAGAUCAAUUUUCAUUUACCCAACAACUCAAGUAAAUCAAACCAUCAUAACUUUCACAUUUACUUAAUUUACAGCACAAAAUGGGUACCUCGUCUUCUUCUUAGACAGAAUCUACAGCACAAAAUGGUUUAUUAGACAGAAUCUACAGCACAAAAUGGGUACCUCGUCUUCUUCUUCAGGAUACCUCGUCUUCUUAGAACCAAACUGAAAACCCUAGUUGCUUCUAUGAUGGACCAAUCUUAGAACCAAACUGAAACAAAAUAGAAAGAGGCUUUGAGAGAAUCGGGGAAAGGGGUUUUCAUAGAUUGAGAGAGAAUCGGAAGAUUGGGGAUGGGUUUGAUGUGAGAGAAUCGGAAGAUUGGGGAUGGGUUUGAGAGAAUCGAAGAUGAGUUUGAGAGAAGCCACACGGUCUCAAUUGGAAGGGAUGGAGAGAAGCGAAUUUCAAUUGGAGAGAAGCGAAUUUCACAUCGGACUCUAUUUUAUGACCGCU
rnacentral:lncRNA from 1 species